CCUUCUCUCUCACAACUCAGAUGUCUCACAAAACUCCAGAUCCUCUCUCUCUCUCUCGCUCUACGACUCAAGAACAUCAUGCCAGAUCUCUCAUCAGAUGCCGUUUCAUGACAAGAUCGUUGAAGUGGUUCCGACACCUGAGCUCUGGUGGAGGAGACUAGGGUUUCGGCGAAGAUAAAGCCAUCGGAGGCUGAACCACCGGUGCAGGGUUUCUUUACCAGUCGCUUCAAGAUAUACGCUUCCUCAGCGAUGAAUCUCUCUAGAUCCAACACGAGAUCGACUGAUCUGUCGUUGAGUUGUUCGUGUUAGGGUGCACCGGAAUAACCAGAUGUGUAUCAUCUGGAAUGAACAAGCUGGAUAACCAGUCGAUCUCUACAAAAUUUCAGUAAGAAAAUCGCGGGGUCCACCAAGGAGACUAUGAAACUACGCUCACUGACUCUAUAUCGCGAGGACCCCGAAGCAAACGGUGUGUCUAGCUGAUAUUUAACAGUGUGGUAAAGUGGGAUAGCACGAAAAUAAAAAAAAGGUAUUUGUUGCAUCCAACAUUUGCACACGGAAGUACUCUGGUCUUAUACGAGGUCCUGACCGGAAAGCGUUACAUUUGUGACAUUAUUACUGAUUCUGUGGUUCUUGGUUUCUUCAUUGAAGCCGAAAAGAUACUCUCAGUGCUCGGAAUCGAUGAUGCAGUUGAUGACUUUUUGUGGCAGGAAAUCUCAAUCAUACUCUCGAAACUCUUGGUCCCGCAGUCCCGCAAAUCUUUGAGAAAACGGCGAUGCAUGACCUACGGACUCUUGUGGCAGAAAGAUCAACUAUGAACACAUAUAUAAGCGGAGAGAGUUUUGAGAUAUGAUCGGUCUGUUAUUAGAAGGAUUCAUUAAAACGCAGGGUACGUUAGAACUUAUUACUGCACCAGCUGCACUAUUCCCGUCAUACGGCAACCGCAGUUUCCGAGUGUCAGAAAUAGUAGCAGCCGGAAGCUUUUGUCACCAUGCAACCUCGUACGUAGUUGAGACAAGGUCAUGGGUGAUGAUGUUUGAGAUUAGUGGAUUUGAAGGAACAGGAACCCUUCAGAGCAGGGUGUCUUCGUUAAUAUCACAUGGCGGGGCGGGGGAAAACCCGUCCUCGGCCCGGGAACAUAGCGGUCUAAUGAGUUGGCAACAGGGCUCUUUUAAGAGAGAGUUUCUCUCAUCUCCAUACCGAUGUUCAAGGAAUUGAAACAAAGACAUUAUCAAUUAUGGUUUUUCAAUUUGUUUUUUGCAAGAAAUAUUAAAACCGUUCUGAUUCCUUGAAUGCAGAGUUGCACUUAGGGUUUUUCAAUGCUUUUGUCUUGCAGAUUUAGAUUUCAUCUCAUCAGAUGUGGGUUCCUCUGAUGUUAUCCUUUUUUUUGUGGGAGAAAGAGGGAGCUGGAGAGAAGAAUGGGCAGAGGAGUGAGAGAAUGGAAGAUGGGAGCCGGCCAAGAUGCCGAUGGUGGAUGGUAUUAGUGUCGGAAGAUGGAUGGGUCGGUAACCAUCGUAAACCCCGACGGCGGCGCUAGAGGUUCGCGAUAACCACAGACUUCCGGCGAACACAAUGGUGAAGACAGAGAGACGCUAACUUUUUAGAUCCUUCGGCGGCUGCAGGUAAGUCUCGCGGUGACUACACCAACGAACGAAGGUACCGGAUCUUGUGGAUCUGGUGUUGACGGCGUCUCGGGUUCCGCAAUAGGCGGCAGAGACAGCUGCUAUGUGGUUGUACUGACCUUACUAGAAAAGAACCGUCAUGGUACUUGUGACGGUGGCAUAUGAACGGGGAUGGAUUCAGAUUGCAAACUCAUAAAUCUUCCCUCUAAGCCUCUCUCUCCAGGUCAAGCUGGGAGGAGAUCUUUUCAAGAUAAAUGGGAGGCUCCUACAAUCCUCCACGUCUAGCUGAGCCAGUGCCUGAACCGGCUAAAGCGGAGGGGUGCGCUUCUGAACCAGCAACAGAAAACAGUCAGGUUAAAACAACAUAACUGAUUACCUGUUCACACCUGGAGGAUUUUCAUGCCUUUAUAUGGCUCAACCUUUAAAAAAAUUUCCCAUGAGGCGCCUUCUUUUCAUCCAUAAGUGGUUUGCCGGCCUGCGUUUCUUCCGCGCAACAACACAUGCUUGACAUAAUUUUUUGUUUCUGUUUUUUCCUUUUUUUUUCUUUUUUUUGUUGGGCUUAAAUUCUAUUUGGUGCUUGACAUAUUUAGUUUUAUACAUUGUUUAUAUAUAAUUUUGAGAUGGUAUUAAACUUGUAAUGGAUAUGGAAACAACGAUGAAUCUUGUUCAUAUUGGUUUGGGCAUGUGACUGACCUGAGUAUGAAUCUCACAACUGAUCUUUUUUAGCAA
rnacentral:lncRNA from 1 species